rnacentral:lncRNA from 1 species
CACCACUUUUAUUCUAUUUCCUUUCUUAUCCUCUCCUGCAGAGAGAAGCCCAGUUUUAAUUUUUUCCAAAAUCCGAAAGAGGCAGCAAAAGCCAAAGAAAUCCUUGCACGUUUUUUUUUUUAAAUAAAAGAAAUCGACAAAAUAUUUAAGAGGCACUAGGUGUCCACACCUAUCAUCAAUCUUCCUUAGCACCGAGGACGCCGUUUCCAAAUAUUAUCACCAGCAGCCCUCACUCCACUGCAGCCGACACUCCUCACCAUCCAUUUUUUUUAAAAAAUCCAUUUACGCUGAGCCUUUCAUCCAAACGCAUCAACAACCAUUUCCUCCCUGCAGCCGCGGUUUGGACUGCCCGGAACGUCCAGCCAAGCCGGGGCUGAGUCAAGCCAACAGGGAGACUGCAGACUGCGGUGCUGGGCAGGGGCAGGGCCGCUCCUGCCGCCGCACGCCAAAGCUUUCCGCCUCCUCCCGAGUGAUUUAAGAGGGUUCGGGACCCAGAUAAGACCCCGCCCUUGCAGCCACGACCCCGGAACGGGAGGAGGAGAGAGGCGGCCUCGGCUCAGCAGAGCCAAGCCUUUGGAAAAACAGGCUGCUCCUCCCCAGCGACCAGCAGCGGCCCGGGCUGGGCGAGCGGCGCGUCGCGGCCGGUGCGCGCCGAGCGGCUCCCAGAACCCCUGACUCUGGAGUGGCGGAUUGGAAUCCUCCUGGAUGUGGAAUCCAAGACUGGCUUGAGACCUCCUGACAUCUCUGAGCUUUGGCUUCCACAUCUGUGGAACAAGGACAAUAGAACUUCCUGGCCUCAGAGGAGACUGCGAGAUGACCUACAAGGUCAGGUAAAAGCCUCCCCGCCCCGUCAUCACGCCUAUCACCCUUUACUUUGUAUUCUUUAUUUGCAUACACGUUUGAUACACCCCAGCCACCAGGCAAGGGGCCCUCAUGAAUUUUCAUUGAAUUCUCACUACAGCCCCAAGAGGUCAAUGCUAUUAUUAUUUAAUUUUCCUGGUGCGCAGGGAGGUCAAGUCACUUGCC